rnacentral:rRNA from 1 species
GACGAACGCUGGCGGCGUGCUUAACACAUGCAAGUCGAACGGAAAGGCCCUGCUUUUGUGGGGUUCUCGAGUGGCGAACGGGUGAGUAACACGUGAGUAACCUCCCCUUGACUUUGGGAUAACUUCAGGAAACUGGGGCUAAUAUCGGAUAGGAGCUCCUGCUGCAUGGUGGGGGUUGGAAAGUUUCGGCGGUUGGGGAUGGACUCGCGGCUUAUCAGCUUGUUGGUGGGGUAGUGGCUUACCAAGGCUUUGACGGGUAGCCGGCAUGAGAGGGUGACCGGCCACAAUGGGACUGCGGUACGGCCCAGACGCGUACGGGAGGCAGCAGUGGGGAGUAUUGCGCAAUGGGCGGAAGCCUGAUGCAGCAACGCCGCGUGCGGGAUGACGGCCUUCGGGGUGUAAACCGCUUUCGCCUGUGACGAAGCGUGAGUGACGGUAAUGGGUAAAGAAGCACCGGCUAACUACGUG